CCCCGAAAGCCCCGGCCCUACCCGGGGCACUGCAUUAGCACCCGGCCGGCCCGAGUCUUGUAGCGGGGCGUAGAAUUCCAGGGGUAGCGGUGAAAUGCGUAGAGAUCUGGAGUAAUACCGGUGGCGAAGGCGGCCCCCUGGACAAUGACUGACGCUCAGGUGCGAAAGCGUGGGGAGAAAACAGUAUUAGAUACCCUGGUAGUCCACGCCGUAAACGAUGUCGACU
rnacentral:rRNA from 1 species